rnacentral:lncRNA from 1 species
CUCCUACUAAGUAAUUUUUUCCUGUGACUUUUGCACACUAAUAUACAAAAGAAAACAUGCUUAAUGAAUCAAAUGUGUAUUUGCAAAAGUUACCCAAUAACCUUGCUGAUGGUGGCAACUAUUUGUAGUUGUGCUGGGUAACCCAGAUUUUGCAAUUCAUCCAUACACAUUGAAUAACACUUUUUGUCCUGGGAUCUUUUACUUCACAUAGGAAGUAUGUGACCUCCAGGUACCACGCACUCUGAAAGAGAGCUUUGAUUCAAACAAAGUAAGCGGUUGGAUUCCUCUUCAUUCAGCUUUAACCAAUCUUGAGUAAGAACUCCCUGACUUGGAAACACUCAAGUAUCCCACACGUGACUGGAUGGCCCUCGCCACACUGGGAACAGAAUGGGGGCCUCCCAUUGGAAGUCGGGGUGGAGGCGGAAGCUCCACCAGCUAUUGUGCCUCCUACUUCCAUUGACAAAAUAAGUGUUGCAGACGUGGCUUAAAAGUCUCCACUCCAUGUGACAGCAAAAUAGUUCUUAGUUUCCAAUCCGGCAAGCAAGAAGAGUGGUUGUUUCCCUCACAAACACCUCUGAAGAAAACUCUAAGGUAUCUCAUUGUGCCUAUAGGGUUAAAUGUCCUUUCUAAGCCAGUUAUUGAAAAAUGUAAUAAUCAUGUUGGGUGGUCUGAAUCACAUGUCACAAUGAGCUUGUGUUAUGGUCAUCUCCCUGGGACCACAUAGAGUGAAAAGAAGAGAUGAAUGGAUUUCUAAAUGAAGAUGGGGACUGUUUCCAUAAGAAGUGGAAGUAGAAACUGGG